rfam:Planomicrobium sp. ES2 genome assembly, contig: CONTIG000001
CAAAUUCUUCGGGGCAAGGUGAAAUUCCUUACCGGCGGUGAGCAGGAAACUGUAAGUCCGUGACCCGAUCUUUAAGCAAAUGAAAGUUUCAGGCAUCCCCGCCUGGGCUUUUGCAUCGUCCAGUUCCGGCAUUCGCCGGUUCCGGACAGGCACAUUUGCUGGCAGUAAAGAGCGGUGGAGCUGGUGAAAAUCCGGCACCGACAGUGAAAGUCUGGAUGGGAGAAGAAUUUG